rnacentral:rRNA from 1 species
CCUACGGGUGGCAGCAGUGGGGAAUAUUGGACAAUGGGGGGAACCCUGAUCCAGCGACGCCGCGUGAGUGAAGAAGUAUUUCGGUAUGUAAAGCUCUAUCAGCAGGGAAGAAAAUGACGGUACCUGACUAAGAAGCCCCGGCGAACUACGUGCCAGCAGCCGCGGUAAUACGGAGGGGGCAAGCGUUAUCCGGAUUUACUGGGUGUAAAGGGAGCGUAGACGGUGCAGCAAGUCUGAUGUGAAAGGUCGGGGUCCAACCCCGGGACUGCAUUGGAAACUGUUGAACUGGAGUGCAGGAGAGGUAAGCGGAAUGCCUGGUGUAGCGGUGAAAUGCGUAGAUAUUAGGCAGAACACCGGUGGCGAAGGCGGCUUACUGGACUGUAACUGACGUUGAGGCUCGAAAGCGUGGGGAGCAAACAGGAUUAGAUACCCUAGUAGUC